AUUGAACGCUGGCGGCAGGCCUAACACAUGCAAGUCGAACGAGUGGCGGACGGGUGAGUAAUGUCUGGGAAACUGCCUGAUGGAGGGGGAUAACUACUGGAAACGGUAGCUAAUACCGCAUACCAUCGGAUGUGCCCAGAUGGGAUUAGCUAGUGGGUGGGGUAAAGGCUCACCUAGGCGACGAUCCCUAGCUGGUCUGAGAGGAUGACCAGCCAAAUUGGAACUGAGACAGGGUCCAGACUCGUACGGAGGGCAGCAGUGGGGAAUAUGGGACAAUGGGGGAAAGCCUAAGGAAGCCAUGCCGCGUGUAUGUAGAAGGACUGCGGGUUGUAAAGUACUUUCAGCGGGGAGGCGUUACCAGCAGAAAAAGCACCGGCUAACUCCGUGCCAGCAGCCGCGGUAAUAC
rnacentral:rRNA from 1 species